CGGCAACAGCUCAAAUUUGAAAUCUGGCCCUCUCAGGGUCCGAGUUGUAAUUUGGAGAGGAUGCUUCGGGUGUGGCCCCGGUCUAAGUUCCUUGGAACAGGACGUCACAGAGGGUGAGAACCCCGUAC
rnacentral:rRNA from 1 species